UAGGGAAUCUUCCGCAAUGGACGCAAGUCUGACGGAGCAACGCCGCGUGAGUGAAGAAGGAUUUCGGUUCGUAAAACUCUGUUGUUAGAGAAGAACAGCGCAUAGAGUAACUGUUAUGCGUGUGACGGUAUCUAACCAGAAAGCCACGGCUAACUACGUGCCAGCAGCCGCGGUAAUACGUAGGUGGCAAGCGUUGUCCGGAUUUAUUGGGCGUAAAGCGAGCGUAGGCGGUUUUUUAAGUCUGAUGUGAAAGCCCACGGCUCAACCGUGGAGGGUCAUUGGAAACUGGAAAACUUGAGUGCAGAAGAGGAAAGUGGAAUUCCAUGUGUAGCGGUGAAAUGCGCAGAGAUAUGGAGGAACACCAGUGGCGAAGGCGACUUUCUGGUCUGUAACUGACGCUGAUGUGCGAAAGCGUGGGGAUCAAACAGG
rnacentral:rRNA from 1 species